rnacentral:rRNA from 1 species
GGGCUCACACAAGCGGUGGAGCAUGUGGCUUAAUUCGAGGCAACGCGAAGAACCUUAUCCUGGGUUUGACAUGUACGGAUGGCUCGCCUGAAAGGGAUGAGUCUGCCUUCGGGUGAAACGUACACAGGUGCUGCAUGGCUGUCGUCAGCUCGUGUGGUGACAUGUUGGAUUAAUUUCCCGAACGAGCGAAACCCUGCUAUACUGCAAUAACUUUAUGGAAUUCAGUAUAGACCGCCAGUGAUAGACUGGAGGCAGGAUAGGAUGACGUCAAGUCCUCAUGACCCUUAUGAACUGGGCUACACACGUGUUACAAUGGUGUAAACAAAACGUAGCAAUGAUGAAAAUCGGAGCCAAUCGCCAAAUUACACCUCAGUACGGAUUGGUGUCUGCAACUCGACUCCAUGAAGCCGGAAUCACUAGUAA